rnacentral:rRNA from 1 species
AUUGAACGCUGGCGGCAGGCCUAACACAUGCAAGUCGAGCGGUAGAGAGGUGCUUGCAUCUCUUGAGAGCGGCGGACGGGUGAGUAAUGCCUAGGAAUCUGCCUAGUGGUGGGGGAUAACGUUCGGAAACGGACGCUAAUACCGCAUACGUCCUACGGGAGAAAGCGGGGGAUCUUCGGACCUCGCGCCAUUAGAUGAGCCUAGGUCGGAUUAGCUAGUUGGUGAGGUAAUGGCUCACCAAGGCGACGAUCCGUAACUGGUCUGAGAGGAUGAUCAGUCACACUGGAACUGAGACACGGUCCAGACUCCUACGGGAGCAGCAGUGGGAAUAUUGGACAAUGGGCGCAAGCCUGAUCCAGCAAUGCCGCGUGCAGGAUGAAGGCC